UACGUAGGCAGCAAGCGUUGUCCGGAAUUAUUGGGCGUAAAGAGCUCGUAGGCGGUUUGUCGCGUCUGCUGUGAAAACCCGAGGCUCAACCUCGGGCCUGCAGUGGGUACGGGCAGACUAGAGUGCGGUAGGGGAGAUUGGAAUUCCCGGUGUAGUGGUGAUAUGCGUAGAUAUCGGGAGGAACACCAGUGGCGAAGGCGGCUCUCUGGGCCUUUCCUGACGCUGAGACGCGAAAGCGUGGGGAGCGAACCGG
rnacentral:rRNA from 1 species